UAUUCUUAUUCUUGUUAUGGAGACGGUGCAACACCUGAUAAGCUCUCGAUCGUUUCAAACUAGCUGCACACACUGAUUUCUACAGGGUGCUUUGAGGCUCACCAGCACCACAUUUUCAAGCAAUUCAGCAAAGCAAUUUUAUUCUUGUCUACGCCUUCACAGAUGGGCUUUCUUGGUAGCAAACUCCACAAUUGUGCACCCUGUAGAAUCCCAGCUCCUCUUGCUCACUUUACUUUGCAGCCACUCAAAACCCUUGAGAAAUCUACUCCUUUGGUCUCAAGAAGGAGACACUGGUUAUAGAUUGCAAUUGAGGGUUUCCUCUGAGCAGCAAACACCCCCACGAAGAGCAGCAAGCGCUGCCAAAUCAUUGCCACAUAGGUGGAGAGGACGAUCUAAUUUGAAUAUUCUUCUUUUAA